rnacentral:rRNA from 1 species
AUUGAACGCUGGCGGCAGGCCUAACACAUGCAAGUCGAGCGAGCGGCGGACGGGUGAGUAAUGUAUGGGGACUGCCUGAUAGAGGGGGAUAACUACUGGAAACGGUGGCUAAUACCGCAUACUAUCGGAUAACCCAUAUGGGAUUAGCUAGUCGGUGGGGUAAAGGCUCACCUAGGGGACGAUCUCUAGCUGGGCUGAGAGGAUGAUCAGCCACACGGGGACUGAGACACGGCCCAGACGCCUACGGAGGCAGCAGUGGGGAAUAGUGGACAAUGGGCGCAAGCCUGAUGCAGCCAUGCCGCGUGUAUGAAGAAGGCCUUCGGGUUGUAAAGUACUUUCAGUCGGGAGGCGUGACCGACAGAAGAAGCACCGGCUAACUCCGUGCCAGCAGCCGCGGUAAUAC